AAAUGUAAGUAGAAGCACCCGCUUCUCGCCUCGUGGUAUGUGCUGCCUGGCUGAUACGUAAAUAAACUAAGCCAGUUUGGCUUAGCUAUUUAGCGGGGUGCGCAUUGCGUUCCCCGCUAUUUAUUUGUG
rfam:Lactobacillus odoratitofui DSM 19909 = JCM 15043 strain DSM 19909 NODE_139, whole genome shotgun sequence.